GACGAACGCUGGCGGCGUGCCUAAUACAUGCAAGUCGAACGCAGUGGGGACGGGUGAGUAACACGUGGGUAACCUCCCAUCAGAGGGGAUAACACUUGGAAACAGGUGCUAAACCGAUACUGAUGGAUGGACCCUGGGUGCAUUAGCUUGUUGGUGAGGGAACGGCUCACCAAGGCCACGAUGCAUAGCCGGCCUGAGUGGGUGAUCGGCCACACUGGGACUGAGAAAAGGCCCAGACUCCUGCGGGAGGCAGCAGUGGGGAAUCUUCGGCAAUGGACGGAAGUCUGAACGAGCAACGCCGCGUGGGGGAAGAAGGUUUUCGGAGCGGAAAACUCUGUUGUUAGGGAAGCGGGAUCUAACCAGAAAGCCACGGCUAACUACGUGCCAGCAUCCGCGGUAAUAC
rnacentral:rRNA from 1 species